GCAAGUCGAGGGGUAACAUUGUGCUUGCACAGAUGACGACCGGCGCACGGGUGCGUAACGCGUAUAGAAGCUACCUUUUACAGAGGGAUAGCCUUAGAAAUGAAGACUAAUACCACAACGUAUUGUAGACUGGCAUCAGUUUAUAAUUAAAGAUUUAUCGGUAAAAGAUGGCUAAGCGUCCUAUUAGUUAGUUGGUAAGGUAACGGCUUACCAAGACAGCGAUAGGUAGGGGUCCUGAGAGGGAGAUC
rnacentral:rRNA from 1 species